AGCUUUGCACAGUGGCAGUAUUGUAGCCAAUGAAGUUUAUCCAAGGUGUGAUUAUUGCUAAUGAAAAUAUAGGAGUAGCAUA
ensembl:snRNA U4 U4 spliceosomal RNA